UACGGAGGAUCCGAGCGUUAUCCGGAAUUAUUGGGUUUAAAGGGUGCGUAGGCGGCCAUUUAAGUCAGCGGUGAAAUUUUGCAGCUUAACUGUAACAGUGCCGUUGAUACUGGGGAGCUAGGAUUUGGUUGCUGUGGGUGGAAUGUGUGGUGUAGCGGUGAAAUGCUUAGAGAUCACACAGAAUAUCGAUUGCGAAGGCAGCUCACAAAGCCAAGAUUGACGCUGAGGCACGAAAGCGUGGGGAGCAAACAGGAUUAGA
rnacentral:rRNA from 1 species